rnacentral:rRNA from 1 species
UACAGAGGUCCCAAGCGUUGUUCGGAUUCAUUGGGCGUAAAGGGUGCGUAGGCGGCGCGGUAAGUCGGGUGUGAAAUCUCGGAGCUUAACUCCGAAACUGCAUUCGAUACUGCCGUGCUUGAGGACUGGAGAGGAGACGUGGAAUUUACGGUGUAAGCGGUGAAAUGCGUAGAUAUCAGGAGGAACACCAAUGGCGAAGGCAGCUCGCUGGGACGGUACUGACGCUGAGGCGCGAAAGCGUGGGGAGCAAACAGG